UACGUAGGGGGCUAGCGUUGUCCGGAAUCAUUGGGCGUAAAGCGCGUGUAGGCGGUCCGGUAAGUCCGCUGUGAAAGUCGAGGGCUCAACCCUCGAAUGCCGGUGGAUACUGUCGGGCUUGAGUACGGGAGAGGCGAGUGGAAUUCCUGGUGUAGCGGUGAAAUUCGUAGAUAUUAGGAGGAACACCGGUGGCGAAGGCGGCUAUCUGGCACACAACUGACGCUGAGGCGCGAAAGCGUGGGGAUCAAACAGG
rnacentral:rRNA from 1 species